GAAAGCCUGACGCAGCAACGCCGCGUGGGUGAUGACGGUCUUCGGAUUGUAAAACCCUGUCUUCAGGGACGAUAAUGACGGUACCUGAGGAGGAAGCCACGGCUAACUACGUGCCAGCAGCCGCGGUAAUACGUAGGUGGCAAGCGUUGUCCGGAUUUACUGGGCGUAAAGGGUGCGUAGGCGGACAAUUAAGUCAGAUGUGAAAUCCCAGGGCUCAACCUUGGGGCUGCAUUUGAUACUGGUUGUCUAGAGUGCAGGAGAGGAGAGCGGAAUUCCUAGUGUAGCGGUGAAAUGCGUAGAUAUUAGGAAGAACACCAGUGGCGAAGGCGGCUCUCUGGACUGUAACUGACGCUGAGGCACGAAAGCGUGGGGAGCGAACAGGAUUAGAUACCCUGGUAGUCC
rnacentral:rRNA from 1 species